rnacentral:lncRNA from 1 species
GGUGAUGAAGUGAGCUGCCGCCUUUGGGCGAUUUGUGCGGAGCGCUCCUCCAGCUCAGUGAGCGCGGAUCAAAGAACGCCAGCGUCGAGGUGCUUCCGAGCCCAACUCACCGCUCCCCGAGCAGCAAGGCCCCACAUCGCUUCCCCGAAAGCUCCCGGCGCUUCCCGACCCCCCCGUGGCCCCGAGCCCCCGGCAUCCGAAAGGUGCCCGGUUCCCCUGCACCAUCGCACACCGCAAGCCGAACUCCGCCGAGCUGCCCCGAGCCCUCCGCCCCCGCCGCACGCAGCGCGGAGCCUCCCCGGGCUCACAGAGGAGCCGGGAGGACACCGCGGAGCUCCCGACCCCGCGGCUGCUGAGGGAGCAGAGCGGCGUGCGGGAUCCCGGGCGCAGGAACAACGUAAUCGAGAUCGGAGCCGCUCAUUGUACAUGAAGAUUAAUUCAGCAUUACAAAGAUCUCACAGAUCACUGAGAUCGCUAAGAUCACAAAGCGGUUGUGUUUUUCUCAGUGAAAUUAAAAUACGUUUGGACUGCACCAGGAGCUGUCAUUACGGCUUUCCUGCCCUUCCGUUCAAGGCUGAGCUGCACAGGACCAAGCACAGAGCGGUGCCUGGGGCCGGGCAGAGCUCCCCAAGCCUGCAUUUCCAAGAACACAAAUCCUGUCCGUUUUUAUACUUAAAUGUGAAAGUUGCUGUGGCUGAAGCUGGGAAGCCAGUGUCCCCUCACACCGACUACUUCUCAUCACAGAAGGGAUGA